UGGUUAAUACGAUUUUAGCAUCGUGUACGGGAUAAAGAACAUAAGUACAAGAUAAUAGUUUGUGUUGGCCA